rnacentral:rRNA from 1 species
GAUGAACGCUGGCGGCGUGCCUAAUACAUGCAAGUCGAGCGAACAGACGAGGAGCUUGCUCCUCUGACGUUAGCGGCGGACGGGUGAGUAACACGUGGAUAACCUACCUAUAAGACUGGGAUAAUUUCGGGAAACCGGAGCUAAUACCGGAUAAUAUAUUGAACCGCAUGGUUCAAUAGUUAAAGACGGUUUUGCUGUCACUUUUAGAUGGAUCCGCGCCGCAUUAGCUAGUUGGUAAGGUAACGGCUUACCAAGGCGACGAUGCGUAGCCGACCUGAGAGGGUGAUCGGCCACACUGGAACUGAGACACGGUCCAGACUCCUACGGGAGGCAGCAGUAGGGAAUCUUCCGCAAUGGGCGAAAGCCUGACGGAGCAACGCCGCGUGAGUGAUGAAGGUCUUCGGAUCGUAAAACUCUGUUAUUAGGGAAGAACAAAUGUGUAAGUAACUAUGCACGUCUUGACGGUACCUAAUCAGAAAGCCACGGCUAACUACGUG